AAAAAAUACAAACCCUGGUUUCCGUGUCCAACGUUUGAUCGUCCGUCUUAUUUGAAAAAAUUAUGAAAAAAAUUAAAAAGACAAGUCACGUAUAAAAUAUUAAUCAUGUUUUAUCAUCUAACAACAAUAAAAAUACAAAUUAUAAAAAAAUUUCAUAUAAGACGGACAGUUAAAGUUGGACACGGAAACCCAGAGUUUGCAUUUUUU
rnacentral:pre_miRNA from 1 species